rfam:Schistosoma curassoni strain Dakar, Senegal genome assembly, scaffold: SCTD_scaffold0005802
AUUCGUCUGACGAGUCCUAAAUAGGACGAAACGUGCGUCCUGUAC